GAAGCUUUGCCCCCAACUUGCCCUCUUAAAUUUUGAUUCAAUAUUAGUAUCAUUUUUAACAAAGAUUAUGUUACAGUGCGAUGGGGAGCCAUAAAUCAAAUCUUCAAGAUUAUUUGCCGCUAAUCUUGUCAGUCAGGUGGCCUUAAUUCAAGCAGGAAUAAAAUCACUACAAGCUUGUGAAACAGCUGGACAGUGGUAGCCAGAUCGCCGUCCAGCAGCAGCUCUGAUUGGAUGAUGUGUAAAUAUCUCUGGACGGUGGCCGUCCUUAUCAAGUGCUACGCGGCCGCCAGCCGCCCGGUGGCAGUGACGUGCAGUUAGGGGAGGCAAAUGAGGCUGUGCCUUACCAGCAAAAUAUAGCAACACAUUAAAUAAAUUAGUGCCAGUUUUUGAUUCAUUUCGUUUUUUUAUGCACCAAAAAUGUAUUAUGAAAUACAUUUGGUGAGGCAGACAUUCACCCUGAGCCACCGCAGUGUGAAUGUCUCAAGGCAGAGGGCGCUGGUGAGCCCAGAGAAUGUGACACCGCGGCUAAACAAUAAUAGAGUUAGUGGUAGCAACUCAAGUGCGGCCGUCCAGAUAUUCUUUAAUAUUGCUUAGCAUAAUUUUCUAAAUGGAAGAUUUCAUUUCUAAACUCGGAAAUUUAUGGAGACACGUCACUGGCAACAGAGACCUUUCAAAACUGAAGAAAGAAAAGGAAGAUUUCUACAAACAGGUCAUUCGUGUUUCUUUAGAAGGAGCAACAUACAGACUUCUUACAAGUAAAAUAUCGACUACAAUUCGUCAACACGCAGGUCUCUGAGUUGCUGUGGUGCUAUCAACGCCAUGAUGAGCUUUGUGCAUCAUCAAUGCCGUCUCCACAUUUGGACCCACAAUGUGGGUUACAUCUGGCCAUCACCGUGCCCCAGGUCCAUGACAACGGCCCUUGACAGGUGGAGGGGGCUUGUUUUCAUAUCCUGCUUAUGAUGUUGUGAAUAAUCAGUCACACCUGGAACAGCAUUUUGAAGCCAGGAGUGUCCAUUCAGCCCAGGUGAUUCCUCUGGCUCCUGGCUUGCUGUGGAUGUAACACUUCCAUUACUAUGAUGCAGGGGAGUAAGUGGCCAACAGUAAGUUGAAUUGUUUUCAUCUAAGCUUGUUGCUGUACUUGUUUUCUGUUUCCUCUGCAACUGUUGGUAUAAUCCAUCUCUAGGAGGUUCAGAGUGGUAGAGCUCCGUCUUUGCCUCCUUCGACGACACAUCCUCUGAACAUGGAGAAAUCAUAUAAGACGGUGUAAUUUGUGGAUCUUUAAAGGAUUUUCCCAACAAGCCUGUUUCUUCCCUUGUUAUAUAAGUUUCACUUUCUGAGUCACUGACGGCCUGCCUCUCACACAUCUUCCCACCAUCACCUCCCUCCAUACUGAGCCGCUUCUUUUUUCUCCUCUUUCUCUUGAUUGAUGCAGAGGGAGAGGAUUCCUGGUUGGGGGUUUGAUCCCCUUUCAUGCUACAUUUUUUACGGAGAACAACCUGACUCGUCAGCAAACCUUCCAGAGUUGCAUCAUUGAGAUUUGUGUCCGCUUCCAUAGCAUUGGACAGAGUGGUUUCUGUUGAGACCUGAGGCUGAUUCCAGUGAGUGACCUCGUUUACUCUGGUUUCUGUGCUGACUUCCUCUCUAAUGAAUAACAGGGUUUUGGUUGAUCUGCAGGUCUUGAAUUCUAAGUUGCUGCAGGCUUCUGGUUCAGAAGAAAUGUCAGAUUCAGAUUCAAGUUUUUUUAUAGUGCUCAUGCCCCCGAUGGCGUUGACAGGUUUACUGGUCUCUUUGCCAACAGCUGUUUCACCCCUGUCAGGAAGAGUGUUUAACUCUAGGAAGUUUUUUGGCAAAGUGGUCCCCCUGGCUUGUUGCCCAUCAUCACUCCGCUCCUCCUUUUGUGUUGCCUCCCUGUUGUUUUCAAGUCUUGCUUGGCUUGGCCCAGGCUCCGUAAGACCUUUCAGCCUUUCAAAGAAAAUAUUGACAGACUGCAGAUGUGUAUCCUCUUCACUGUCUGAGAGGACGCUCUGAACCCCAAGCAUGCCAUGUUUACAGAGGCUGCUUUCCACAGGAGAGCCCACGCUGAAUGGUGGCCCACCAUUAGGGGGGACACUGGUAGAGUCGCCUGGUGCUGAGUUGACCCUUUGGACUUUUUUGGCAAGAAUGGACCCUCUAUCAUCAAGAUCGCUCAUUCCUGAGUCAUCCACACCUGCUAAAGAAGGAGGGAGCAGAUUACACUCCUCACACUCUGCAAAGAAACGCUCCCAAUCACGGUCACAGAUCUCCACGCUGUAUUCAAACUCUUCCAUUCGGUUUGGGAUGACGACUACCUGGGAAAUAAAACAAAGAGUUGUAACCCAAAGGAUGUCAUUUUCUUGUUGUUCCAGUAUGUUGCAACGACUAAUUCUCAAAAUCAAACAUUUAUGAUGCUGUAAAUACUCAGUUAUGUCAACCAUAAAUAAACUUGACAGAUUUUAAGGCAGGAUGUUAGGAUUUAAAAAUAAUAAUUAGUGUUACAAAGCAUCACUUUUUCCACUAAUUCAAGUGAAAUGUUUUAUUCUAUUAUGCAAAUUAACAGAAAGUAAAAAUAAAACUUUGAAAUAUUUUGAAGAACUGCAGUAAGUCUAGCCUUGUUCGAGUCAUGUUCUUCCUUCACAUGCAAAAUAUUUUCCUACCUGUCUUGGUUCUGCUGGACUCCAGAUCCACGUGAGGUAAAGCUUGAGGAAGUCUCAGCAGCACCAGCAACCUCCCCACUCUGGUGGACUGUCUUGUGCAUGAUCAUGCAGCACAGCAAGCCCCAUGAUUUGUUAAAUAUAGAGCGGCGCUUCAGAUCACGUAAUACACGCAGUGUUCUCGCAGCAGCCAUCUCCAACAGAGGUGUAAUGUUUCUAAACUUUAAAUAGACCCCGUCUAGCAAGCUGCUUUUCUACUUACACAGACGUUUCAUACUUUUAUUAUCCGGCUUAAGGACAUUAAGUUCGAACAGUUGAUACGACCAAAUGUUAUUUAUAUAUUCAAAUGAAUUAAUGAAUGCCUCCUUUGUGUUGGAAUUUGUCAGGAUAGUGAUAUAAAACCUGCAGCAGCUCCUGUAGUUACAGUGCCGACAGUGGAUACAACUGUGGCACCUCUUAAAUAUGGGUGUCAUGUCAGACGGGCCUCAAUCAGCUGAUUUUGAUGUGACAUCACACGGGGAAAGAAGAGCCUCAUCUUUCCAACCAAACAUUUCCACACGCUGAGAAAGAGGGAAAGAUCUGGAACGCUGUCACAGGAGACACAAAAAUCUAACAGGACAGCUUCUCUUGAGAGAAUAAAAACCUGCUUCCUCUGACCUAAAAGAACAAAAAAAAUUGUUAUUACUCUGACUAAGCACAGAUUAAAUCAUCUGCAACAUGAGGAUUCUUUUUUAUUCAGAGGGAAGUUUCAAGCCUGUUUGGACGUAUCUCAAAUGUAAUUUGAGAUUUCAGUCUGUGCUUAAGUUUCUGAAAAUCGUCUGGGCUCUUCAAGGUAUUCAAAAUAAAUCUAUUAUAACACAGAUGUGUCUUUUUAACUCAUUUUUAUCCAUUUGCUGUUCCUACUUUGUUGUACGCAGGGUCAAUGGGGUCGCUUAGGUAGUACUUGGUGAAGGAGGGCACGCCAUUCCUCAAGGGCCAAUCUCCUGCUGAUUUUCCAGAAACCUUGUCUUAUCUGCUGUUAAUUACAUGGAUCAGGCGUGUCAAUAUAGCCAAUAAGGGGCUUCAAUGCUAGGUUGGUUAGAAAACAUAUAGGAUACUGGCUCUCAAGGCCUUGAUUUGCACCGAAUGCUGGUCCAUUGCGAGGAAAAAAACACUCACAAAUACACAUUCACUCCUAAGAGACUAUCUAAAGUCACCAAAUAAACUGAGAGGCACAUUUUUGGACUGUGGAAUGAAGCUUGAGGGCCUGAAGAAGAUCCAUACAUGCACGUGUGGGUGUGAGGUAACUGAAACCGAGUCUCCCCACCCCGCUGUCUCGUCUCAACUUCUUGUAGCAAAACCAAAAUAUACUAUAUGAUAACUAUUCAUUCUACAUAUUCCUGUGUGAAGUAAAAAAAUAAUUGGAAUUAAACUUAAACCCAUUUCUGUUGCUGCAGAAAAAAUGUACAUGGGUUAAAAUACCAUGAGAUAAUAAUUUUAAAAAAUCAUAAAAAGUUAAAAUAAAAAAUACUUAUACAAAUAAAAAAA